UUUUUCAUAUGGACAUUUAAUGUAAUACUCAAAAGAAGUAAAAAGAAAAGAUAGCUACUAUGUUAGGCUGCUAAUGGUAUUUUAAUGACAAUAAAGUAUUGAAAGCAAAUUUUUAAAAGUCUUACCUAGCAUGUUUCUGUCUCAAACAACCAACCAAAUGAUUGGAAUCCAAGAAACAAGAUAAGUUUAACAAUAUUAUUAAGUUGAAAUAAUAAAAGAAAUGGAGUACUCAGUUUUCAAAAUAUUAACAAAAUUAAAAAACAAACAAAUAAACCAAUAAUCAACAAUGAAGUACAUACAUCUUAAUAUGCCAAAAAAGAAGACAAUCCGCCCAGGAAAUUGCAGAAAUUUUAUCAACAAGAAAGAUUUAAAAAAUUACGGAAAAUAAGGGUAAAUUACAGAAGAAAAUACCAGAGAAAAUAACGAACUCAGCUGCUUUCCUUUUAAUUAGUGAAAUUCAAUUAUGGCAAACUUUGGUGAGCUAGAUGCGAAUGGAGGAUGGAAAACAGGGACUAGCUUGAACCGCGAACCUCGUCGACAACCUCGAACUCGGGACCUCUCGCACGGGAACUCGCCGGCGACUUCGCCAUGGAUUCUACCAUUUUUAGCGUGAUGAAAGGGCUAUUUUGGAGCUGAUUUUCAGAGCAGUUUUUAGCAGUUUUUUAUCUUCGUUUCGAGAAAAUUUAAACUACGUUUUUUGCUCAAUUUCAUGACUGUUCUUCAGCUUGUUUUGGGUGAGGUUUGGGGCUGUAAUGGGAUGGUUCGGAGGUGCUUUUCGGGUCAUUUUUUUAGUAGCUUUUGGACAUGUUUUGUAGCAUGAUUUUCGCUGCUUUCGUUGCGUUCUUGAACUGGUUUUCUGGUAGAAACAGGGGCUGUUCGGGUAAGGUUUUUUGCGUGAUUUUCCGGUUAGUUUUCGGGCUAAGGGAUGUUGUUUAUGGAGGAGGAAGAAGGCAGCAACAACUGCUGCAUUUUUGGCCGCAAACAGCUAUGAUUUUUCUUUCAAAUGCUGUUGAAAAUCUUGGGUUUUGAGAAUGGCUGAAGCUUUUGUAAUUGGGGGUGAGGGAUUUUUGGUUUGGUUGUUGAUGAAGAAGAUGGAUGGGGGAGGGUGUUUUCUGAUUUUGUUCAGCGGCUUGUCAAUCUCUUUUAGGUCUCUUAGGCGUGUUUUUAGCUAUUUUCAACUGCUAGGUACUUAUAUGCAGAUGUCUAGGGUUUAAUUAAAGGGUAUGGGUGUUGGGCUAAGGGUUAAUUUUGGGACAACGGGGAUUUGGGCUCAAGGGCUAGUCCGAAAUUGGGCCAUUUUCUUGCCCAAAAUUGAGCUAAAAUUGUCUUGAAUUAUCUAACAAUUGGGCUUCUUAGAAGAUCUGGAUUUCAUUAACUAAGGGCCUAAGUUUUUCUUAUUUAAAAUAGUAUAAAGCAUUUAUAAAAAUGUAAAACCACUCCUAAUUAAUUAUAAAAACUAUUAAAGAUAAACCUAAAAUGAAACUAGUUUUGUUUUUGUAUUUUUCAAGAUUAAAAAUGACUACAAAACAUUAAUGAAACUAUUUUUUUGUAAUUUUUGUUUUCUUGUAAUAAAAUAAAAUAAAAGCGUAAAAGUUAGUUGAAAUAGAUAUAUUAGGCCUAAAUUAAAUAUUUACGUGUUAAAAUAUAAAAAAUCUUGGGAAGGGUCAAAAAUCACAUGUCUACAACUGCCCCUCUUUGACUGAAAAUACGAAGUAUUUUUAGACAAAGAACGACUAGAUAAGUUUUUUGACCUGACCCUUAUUUAAAGAGACUAAAAGCUAAAAGAAGAGAGAAUGUGACCGAGCCCUAGUAUCUGAGUUGCCUACAUAUCCUUGGCUGUAAAGGAAUCAGGCCACGUGUAGUUCAGAAGUGAGUGAGAUGAUGGAGUAUACCGAGCUGAAGAGCCGGUCGAGGUGCCGUUCCGCCGAGGUUCCGGUCCGCGGUCCUGUUAUUACAUCAAAAAAAUAAAAAAAAUGGAAAAGACUAGCUAAGCCUAUCAACUACGAGUUACAAGAUUACUAUCUAUAAGUCUUCUGAAGCUUGAUCUUGAGUCUUGAGUGGUUCUUCAUGCAAACUUUAGAUUUGAACCUUGACGCUUGCUAGUUGCAGGUACUAGUUCAUCCUUCUUCAGCUUUUCGGAUCAAGACCAGGCAUGUAGUGCUUGUGACCUCAGCGAUAUCUUGAGCAGCCCACAUCUUUCAUCAACUUCUGCAUUUGGAUUAACUUCUUGCCUUUCUUUUUUUUCUUUAUUAUGACUAACUUCUGUUGAUCACCUCGAACUGUUGACUCGCAUUCUUGCCGCGAGCUUCUUUUGUUGCUAACUUGAAUUGUAUUCUGAAGUGAAUUCUCUUAUUCUCUAGGUAGGUGCCUAAUUGCUGAACUUGAACCGUCUUCCUUUGACCACUGUUUCCUUCCCUUUGUUCUCCGGGUGGGCUCCUGAUUUCAUACAUUUGAAUUAUCUUCCUUUCCUCUGAAACUUGUCUUGUUCUCCCUUUGUUCUCUAGGUGGGCUCCUGAUUUCCGAACUUCCUUUGAACCUUGCUGCUUCCCUUUGUUCUCCAAGGGGCUCCUGAUUGCUAUAUUUCUUUGAACAUUGCUUCUUCCCUUCGUUCUCCAGGUGGGCUCCUGAUUACCAACACUUGCACUACGUUUCCUCGAAACUUGAACUGUUUCCCUUUGUUCUUCAGGUGGGCUCCUGAUUGCUGAACUCCUUUGAACCUCGCUGCUUCCCUUCGUUCUUCAGGUGGGCUCCUGAUUUCUAUCUUCCUUUGACAUUGCUGCUUCCCUUCGUUCUUCAGGUGGGUUCCUGAUUGAUGUCUUCCUUUGAAUGUUGCUGCUUUCCUUCGUUCUCCAGGUGGGCUCCUGAUUGGUGUCUUCCUUUGAACAUUGCUGCUUCCUUUCAUUCUUCAGGUGGGCUCCUGAUUACCAACACUUGCGAUGCUUUUCCUCGAAACUUGAACUGCCUCCUUUUGUUCUUCAGGUGGGAUCCUGAUUGCUGAACUCCUUUGAACCUUGCUGCUUUUCCUUUGUUCUUUAGGUGGGCUCCUAAUUGCUGAACACUUGCAUUGCUUUUCCUUGAAACUUGAAUUGCUUCCCUUGAAACUUGAACUGCUUCCCUUUGUUCUCUAGGUGGGCUCCUGAUUUCCAACACUUGAACUGACCCCUCUGAAACUGCUGCUUGUGAACCUGAUUACAACAAAACAAACAAACAAAAAAAAAAUCUGCCCCAGUUUGAUAUUGGGAACAUCUGUGAGUGUUAAUCAAAUCAUAAUACCCAAAAGCUCUAAGAAUUUAAAAUCUAAAUCCCAUUAUCCAUGAGGGUCCUGAAAAUUAAGAAUUAAAUCUCAUCUCAAGAGUGACACCUUCAAAGCUAAAUUCUAUUUCCUAAAUGUAAAACUUACGCUAAAUCUUAUUGUCUAUGAAGGUCUUAAAAACUUAAAACUAAAUCCCAUUAUCCGGGUCCUGAGAACUUUAAAUUAAAUCCCAUUAUCCAGGAGGAUUCUGAAAAUUUUAAAUUAAGUCCCAUUAUCUAGGAGGGUCCUGAAAAUUUUAAAUUAAGUCCCAUUAUCUAGGAGGGUCCUGAAAAGCCGAGAACGAACUUACCUGAGCCGCGCUCUCUUCCUGGAGGAUCUCUAUAGACCGAACAAAAUUCCUUUCCCCUGAACCACGCUUUUCCUCAUGGAGAGUUCCUGUAGAUCAAACACAUUUUUCUUUCCCCUUCUCAAAUCGCCUUUGUGCUGACAAAAAUUGUGCACGACACUUGAAAAAAUUCAAACUUCCAAGCUUUGAUUUGGACAUAAUUUUCAUCCCUAUUUCAAACAAAGAGAACUUGUGAGCUUAUAAAUAUGGUGGUUGGUUUGUGGCCUUGACUUUGAGGGCGAUUGCUCCUUAACUACCCAUGAUAACUUUGAUUUCCACUCGAAAGACCUUGCUUGUUUAUUGACUAGCUACUUUCUUUGUCACCCUUAUCACGGAAAAUACCUCUAAUCUGUUCAAACCCGAUACCAUUCAUCUGUUGCAGUGUGUUCUUGCAUUGACAUGUACUGAACCUUUGUGUUUCACAUGAAUCCCAAAGUACAUCAAUUGCCAUCCACUCAGUGCGCAUGCUGUUCUUUCCUGACUUAAAACACUGGCCUUGGCCUUGAGGUCUAUUGCUCCUUCACUUGCCAUGAUAACUUUGAUUUCUGCUUGGAAGACCUUGCUUGUCACUGGUUAACCACUUUCUUUGUCAAUCUAUCACAGAAAAUACCUUUGAUCUAUUCCAACCCAACACCCUCUAUCUAUUGCAUUGUUCAUCAAUUGACAUAUACCGAUCCUUUGUAUUUCACGUGAAUCUCAAAGCACGUUGAUUGUUACCAACUCAGUGCGCUUGCUAUUCUUUUCUGGCUUAUGAAACUUUGAUGUGCAUAGCCAGAUCCCGUUUUGUGCAAUUGAAAAGAAUCAGGUCAAACGUAGUUCCCAAAACUACUUUUAUUACUAUUUUCCUUUUCUUUUUCCUUUUUCCCUUUUCCCUUUUUUUAUUUUUUUCUUUCCCCUUUUCUCUUUUUUCUUUUUCUUUUUCUUUUUUUAUCUCUGUUUUUUUUGAAUCUUCAUUUUGGAAUGAACUUCUAAAAUAAACCUAUGGGGACAUGAACUUUUUUUUUCUUUUUUCGUAUGACUCUAACUUGAUUCUAAAAGAGGGAAGGUCAAAGAAAUCAGUACAGGGUCAAAAAGGGUAUCGAAUGUAUAAGUGUUUCUGUAGCUGAAAGAGGGCCUCCCAAUCCCUAAAAAUGGCAAGUACAACACAUGCAACUUGAAAUGAAAAAGGAAUAGCGCGCACAAUGUUUCUUUUACAGCCUUGACAUUGAUAUCAGUGAUAUGAUUUCCAUUCUUUUAGUGACUUGUCAAGUACAGAACCCUCGUUAGGUGAUUCCCUCUUCACAAUGGAUAUCCUCCAUCAAUUCGGAGACAACUUUCUUGACUUUAUCUUGUAACUUGAGAUGCACUUGAACUCAAAGUUUCUUGCUUCAAAUUGUUUGGGAUGCACUCUACUUUAACGAAUUCUUGUCACCCUAUUAACUUCCCAAAUUAUCUGCCCCAGUUUCACAUGGUUUGGGCUUCAAAUGAUCUUAAAAUGUCCAAAUCUGUACUUAUUUCCCUCAAAUGUCCCUAUCAUCUUCAAAAUUGUUUCAUUGCUUCAUGAUUAAACUAACUUUAGAACCAUGCCUAAAAUUAUGCAUGCAUGUCAUGUCAUUAAAUCCAGCAUGAGAAGAAAAACUAUAAAAGGAGAAGAUAACUAAACAAAAAAUGGUUAGAAAUAACAGAAAACAGGAAAUUGCAUUAGACAGACGGUGAAAAGGGUUUGGAUAAUAAGACAAGCAAAAUAAACUGGGGUACAAUCCUGGAACAAAACCAGACAACACUAAACGAGCUACUACGACUAAACAAAACUAGGCAAAAUAAAAGGAUAGAAGGGUUUGAGUCACAAGACAAUAUUCGGAUUACAACCCUGAAAAUAACCCGGACAACAGAAAUAAAAACAAAAUAAACCACCACAACUCCUCCCCGGGCCAACCAAGAAUGGAGUGUCUUUCCAAUUACCAAACACGACAUCUUAGCCACUGAGUUUCGCAUCAACAUUACUAGGACCUUCACAAGUCUCAAUCACAUUGACUUUAGCAAAUUGCAUUUAGGUCCUUUUGCCGGCUCGUUCUUAAGACCAAACUCUGAUAGCGCUGAAAGCUUCGCAGCACGUGGACCUCCGAGGAUCUCAGAAGAAUUCUCAUAUUCCUUUUCAAAACAAAUCAUACCCACCACAUGCGUCUCAUUAUGAACAUGCGAUGGACUUUGGCUAGUGUCUACUGCAUCUGGAUUUUGCACGACAAUGUCACCUGCAUCAAUAAGCUUCUGAAUUACAUUUUUCAGGUGCCAACACUUUUUUGUACUGUGACCCGGGGCACCGGAUCAGUAUGCGCACCUUUGAGAAAAAUCAAACUUCUUUGGCAAAGGGUUUGACAUUUUUAUUUGAAUCGGCUUCAACAUGUCCAAUUGCCUCAACCUUUGGAACAAACUAGCAUAUGAUUCUCCAAUAGGAGUGAAAGCUUUUUCUUUUUUCUAUUGUCUUUUCAGUUUGUAUUCUGGCUUCGGUUGGAACCUUUUGCGAGCAGGUGGCUGAUAUGCUUGAGGGGGCGGGUAAGACAUUUGGGUAAAUGGUGCGGGCCUCGUGGGUGUGGAGCAUAUGGUGGUGCAUUGUGGAUAGGGUACUGGAAAAGUGAUGUACGACUUUGGGGGUUCUAUGGAGAGAAGUAGCAUUGGGGAGGAUCAUCUAGUACACAAGGAUAUCCAUGGGGUCGAUGUCGAGGCUGAAAGCGUUGAGCAAGAAUGCCCAGCGGAUCAUCUUUUCUAUUUCUCUUUCUUCCACCCAAACUUACUGGGAUAUUCUGAAUGUCUUCCAUAGUAUCUUUCAAUGCCGAAUAACUCAUGAUUUUGCCUGACUUGAUUCCCUCUUCUACCAUCUCCCCCAUUUUUACUACAUCAUUAAAAGGUUUACCCAAGGUCAGAAUCAAAUGACUGAAGUAGGUGGGCCCUGAGCUUGUAGGAAAAGCUAAACUAUUUCUUCUUCACCAAUGGGAGGACAGACUCGUGCAGCUUGCUCCCUCCAUCUGAGCCCAAACUCCCUAAAGCUUUCCUCCGGUUUAUUUUCCAUCUUAGAUAGGGAGGAGUGGUCUGAGGUAAUGUCUAAUUUGUAUUGAAAGUGUCGAACAAAAUCUUGAGCCACGUCGCCCAAUGUAUGCCACUUACCGACAUCUUGACGAUUAUGCCAUUCCAAAGCUGCCCCAGUCAAGCUCUUACUGAAAUACGUCAUCAACAAAUCAUCUUUCUCGCCAACACUUCUCAUUUCCCUGCAAUAACCCCUUAGAUGGGCUACCGGAUCUCCACGCCCCUCAUACAAAUUGAACUUCGGCACUUUAAACCCCGCAGGCAGAUGUACAUCAGGGAACAUAUGAAUCUGAUUUCUCAUCCCUUGCAUGCUCCUUAAGGACUGUUCUAUACCUUUCAGCUUCCUGGAUAUUUCAUCUCGCCCUUCUUUUCCUGUGACCUUUUCAUUUUCAGCAUGAGGCUCAUUCCGAGGGCUCUGCUUGUAUGAGUCAAGAACCUUGUGGGCAACUUCUGAGGGGUAAUAUUGGGCAUCACGAGCUUUGAGUGGGUAUUCAUUUUUGGGGAUAGUGGAUAUGACAGGAGGGUAAUUUUGGGGAAAGGUAAUUGGAGGACGAGUGAUGGAGCUACUAAGGUGGUUGGGAAAACUGUGAUAAGCGGGUGGAUCUGGAGAGUAUGGGGGAUCAUCUGGCACUAUGACAGGAGUUCGGGUAAGGGUAGCAUCUAGGAAGCUAGGUGGGGGUGGGGGUGGUACCUUCCCAGUCAUCCAAACCUGAUACAUGUCCGCAAUAUGUUGUCUUAACAUCCUUACCUCUUCAACCAACCCAUCGCCCUGUUCAAGCAAUUACUUUUGGGCACCAGUACCAACCAACUCAAUUCCAUUGCCGUUCAUUGCCUUUCGACCUUAUGUUGUAGAGAAGAGUUACCACUUUAAGAAUCACAAACCAACCACCUUUCUGCUCAAUGAAGAUAACAAAAGGAACAAAAUGGGGACAUCCUGUUAGCAUUAGGGAAUUUAAUAACUAAAAAUCAUAUUGCGUGCAAUGUACCUAGCAACAAUUAACGGUUCUAGAAUGACUUCUAGGGUCACAAGGUCACUUGGCAUCAUCCCAAUUUUGUUCAUUUCAAUCUUCUCUUUCUUUUCUUUUCUAGCAUUUCUUGGCUUGCUCAUUUUCCUUCCUUUCUUUUUCUUACUGACUAUCACUCUUUUCUUUCCUCUCAUUUCUCACGUCCCACAACUUUAUCCUCUUUUUGUCUUUUCUCUUUUUUUUUCUUUUUUUCCCUUUUUCUUUUAAUAAAAUAAAAUUAAGAAAAUGAUUCGAUCGAACCCUAUGUAGGUUGCCUACGUAUCAUGACGCUGCAUGAAUUAGAUCUUUGCGUAGUUCGGGAAGAUCGGGAAUAAAGUAAACAAACCGAUGUUCUCUUUUUUUUCUUUUUUUUCUUUUUACCUUAAUGACUAAUUUGAUGAGAAAAGAGAAACAAAAGAAGCAAAUUUUUUUUCUAGACUGAAUGUUCUAUAACCUACUCUAAACUCAAGCUUAACGAGCAUGUCUUUUGUUUUCUUUUUUUUCUUUUUGAAACAAAUACUCUAUGUAAAAUUAUUAAGGAUAAAACCCUACAAGAGAAAAAUAUUUUUGAUUCUUUUUUUAGGAAGGAAAUCUAAAGAAUAAACCAAAGAAAAAUAUUUUGAAUUUUCACUUGAUAUUCUGAAUAAAAGAUUUCGAAACAAGAAAUGAAAAGAUAAAAAACUAUUUUUUGGAUUUAAAUUUUUGAUUACCUAAGGAAGAAACUCUGAAAAUAAACCAAAGAAAAAGUAUGUUUUUUAUUCUAUGUACAAUAUCCUAAAGUUCUAAUGAAAAUAAGAAAAAGGUUUUUUUUUUUCAUUUUUCACCAAUUUCCCAAAGAAGCACCUCCAAAGAAAAUCUUUUUGGAUUUUUGGAACUAAAAUCUUAAAGAAAACUUUUAAAGUGGUACUAAAAGAAAAUUUUCUUUUAUUUUUUUGAAUUUUUAGUCUUAAUGUACUAAAAGGAAAUAUAAUAGCAAUUUUUAUUUUGAGUUCUAUAUAUUAAUUUCCUAAAGGAAAACCACCUUAAAAGAAUUAGUAUUCUAAUGAAAACUUCUAACAGAAAUAUAAAACGCGAAACCUCUUUUUUUUUGGAUUUUUGAGUUACAGUACACUUUUUCAAAUAUAAAGUAGAAAGUACAAUAAUAAAAGACUCAACGUUACUGUACAAAACUAAAAAGUAAAAGACGACAUAAAAUGAAGAACAUACUCAAAACAUAAAAACUAAAACAAAUCUCCUUAAGCAACUCCUAAAUGAGCGAUCCUAACUGGAUGGUCACGAGAUGUCUGCCAUGCUCAAAUCCCGGUAAGUAGAUCCACACCUGUAUAAAAAAAACUCAAACCAACACUAGGUGAGACAAUAACAUUCCCUAUUGGACACAUGCAAGACAUAAUUGAGGCUAUUUUUGCAAAAUGGCUUAUUUGUCCAAAAGGUGGCAAGAACCUAAGAUUUACUAGGAAGACCGGACCCUAUGUGGGUUGCCUACGUACCACGCCUCAAAAGACGAGAAUCAGGUAUGCGUAGUUCGGACAAAUUGGAUACGGGCGAGAAUUAAAAAAAACACAACUAAUUUAGAGAAAACAUAUUUUUUUGUCUUUGGUUUUUGAAAAAUGAUGAAACAUGUAAACUCUUUUUGGAUUUUCUUUUUCCUUUUUUCUGAUUUUUUUUGUACAAAAUAAUGGGAAAGUGCAAAAUCUUUUUGGAUUUUUCCAUUUUCAUUUUUUGGUCUUUUCUUAAAAAUAAAAUGUGAAAGAAAAACAUAACUAGGUCCUACUUGCUUUAUUUUUUACACUUCACACACUUUUUUCUCAUUUAUCCUCAAACCUCAUUGGUCCGCCAAAUGACCUCGUUUACCCUUGAAAAUUGUAACAUGUAGCACAUAAGAUGCAACAUGAUAGUCUUUUAUUUUUUGGGUACACCUAUCCUAGACGGACCCAACCCCUAUAUUGAGUCCCCAAAGUCAAAUGCACGUGAUGCAAACAAGCGUUCCUACUAGGGAUCCGGCAUGAGGGUGUGUUAUUCUAAGUUUAAAACCUGGGUGUAUUGUUCUAGACCUGGCUUACCCGAGCGGACAACUCGAGUCGGGGGGGGGGGGGGCAGCGUACCGGUAACCAAAAGAUCAUCCAGCUUUGCAACUUGUCCGAACCUUAUUCUAAAUUGGGAUAUGACACUAACAGAAAGAAGUCACGCCAGCGUGCCCUCCUCAGAAGAUAGAAGAAAGGGGUUUCGUAGCAGUUUAUAUAUACAGAUCAUAUAAUAUCAAAGCGGUAAGCAACAUUUAGCACAUUAGGCCUAAACAUGUAGAUAAAAUCAAACAAUAAAUAAAGCCAAAUAUAACAAUUAUUAUAAGCUCGAAUUCUUGAACCUCGAACCAGAGAUUCUGGGUUUGAUCUCCAGCAGAGUCACCAGAGCUGUCACACCUCCUUUUACCUACCCCGCAGAAGGGUGUAAGGGAGUUUUUUUUUCCAAUUUAAGUGACAAUCAAAACGAGAUUAUUUAUAUUAAAUUCAGAGUUGCCACUUGAGAUAAUUUAUGGUGUCCCAAGUCACUGGUUUAAAUCCCGAAUUGAGGAAUUUUGACUCUGUUUUACAGUCCGCAAACACAAAAAUCCGGGUAAGGAAUUCUGUUAACCCGAGAGAAUGUGUUAGGCAUUUCCGGGUUCCGUGGUUUUAGCACGGUCGCUCAACUAUUAUUAUUUGCUUAAUUAUCUGAUUUUAAAAUAUCUUUAAAACCUAUGUGCAUUUUUAUUCCUUCUGAACUGCUUUUAAUAAAUUAGUGUUACAUAUUGCGAAUCAUGUCAUGGGAACCGUACCCAUGAUCUACAACAUGUUUAUUUUAUUAACAAGAUUAAAUGUGGCCGGGUCACAUAAAUGUAACCCCAGAUUUAGAAAUUAGGUGUCACAACUACGUCACGGGAACCGUACCCGUAGCUAUGACAAUUUAUUAAUCGCACCUAAAACAAGCUGCGCAUUUAAAAUAUUUGAACUAAACUUUGGGAUUAUUAUGCAACCCAACAUGCUUUUUUUUUUUAAAAAAAAAAUCCAAACCAAUCCUACAGCUCCUUAAAGCUAACAAAUAAUAGUCCAUUACAAAAAAUUCAAUUAGCACUAUUUUGUUAGACGCAAACCAUACGGCCUUUAAAAAGAAAAUGAAGAUACAGAAACAUUGGCAACAAAUUGCACACAAUCUCAAACUCAUAUGAUACCAAACGAUUUUCAACCAAAAUCUCUGCCAUGAUUUUUGUGUAAAUAGCAAUGUCAAAAGUAAAAGACUAUACAACUAUUGAAAUAAGGACUCUCGCAAUAAAUAUUUCAUACAGAAAUUGGCGAUAGGACCAAGGCCUUCUUUAUUGUGCUUUUUUCAUAUGAACAUUUAAUGUAAUACUUAGAAGAAGUAAAAAGAAAAGAUAGCUACUAUGUUAGGCUGCUAAUGGUAUUUUAAUGACAAUAAAGUAUUGAAAGUAAAAUUUUAAAAGUCUUACCUAGCAUGUUUCUGUCUCAAACAACCAGCCAAAUGAUUGGAAUCCAAGAAACAAGAUAAGUUUAAUAAUAUUAUUAAGUUGAAAUAAUAAAAAAAAUGGAGUACUAUGUUUUCAAAAUAUUAACAAAAUUAAAAAAAAAACUAGUAAUCAACAAUGAAGUAUGUGCAUCUUAAUAUACCAAAUAAGAAGACAAUCCACCUAGGAAAUUGCAGAAAUUUUAUCAACAAGAAAGAUCCAAAAAAUUACGGAAAAGAAGGGUAAAUUGCAAAAGAAAAUACCAGAGAAAAUAACGAACUCAGCUGCUUUCCUUUUAAUUAGCGAAAUUCAAUUACGGCAAACUUUGGUGAGCUAGAUGCGAAUGGAGGAUGGAAAACAGGGACUAGCCUGAACCGCGAACUUCGUCGGCAACCUCGAACUCGGGACCUCUCGCACGGGAACUCGCCGACGACUUCGCCAUGGAUUCUACCAUUUUUAGCGUGAUGAAAGGGCUGUUUUGGAGCUGAUUUUCAGAGCAGUUUUUAGCAGUUUUUUUAGCUUCGUUUUGAGAAAAUUUAAACUGCAUUUUUGGCUCAAUUUUGUGACUGUUCUUCAGCUCGUUUUGGGUGAGGUUUGGGGCUGUAAUGGGAUAGUUCGGAGGUUCUUUUUGGGUCAUUUGUUUAGCAGCUUUUGGACCGGUUUUGCAGCAUGAUUUUCACUGCUUCUCUGAGCUGCUUUUGUUGCGUUCUUGAACUGUUUUUCUGGUGGAAACAGGGGCUGUUCGGGUGAGGUUUUUUGCGUGAUUUUCCGGCUAUUUUUGGGCUAAGGGAGUUUGUUUAUGGAUGAGGAAGAAGGCAGCAGCAGCUACUGCUUUUUUGUUUUCAUAUGGACAUUUAAU
rnacentral:lncRNA from 1 species